rnacentral:rRNA from 1 species
UACGGGGGGGGCAAGCGUUGUUCGGAAUUACUGGGCGUAAAGGGCUCGUAGGCGGCCAACUAAGUCGGACGUGAAAUCCCUCGGCUUAACCGGGGAACUGCGUCCGAUACUGGAUGGCUUGAGUUUGGGAGAGGGAUGCGGAAUUCCAGGUGUAGCGGUGAAAUGCGUAGAUAUCUGGAGGAACACCGGUGGCGAAGGCGGCAAUCCUGG